rnacentral:tRNA from 1 species
CCUUCGAUAGCUCAGUUGGUAGAGCGGAGGACUGUAGUAGUGCUACUAAAGUAAUCCUUAGGUCGCUGGUUCGACUCCGGCUCGAAGGA